rnacentral:lncRNA from 1 species
AGCAAGCAUGCUGGGAAAACAAGAGUGAGCAGGAGAUAACAUCACUUUUAAUUCUCCACUUCCGAGUGGGUGGAGCAGGAGACAGGACCCUGGACUGGUUUUAGACAAAAUCUGAAUUUGUGUCCUGAUCGUCUUUAAACAAGAGGAGAAUUUGUGUCCUGGUCUGUAAGACAAGAAGGUCCCUUACUGACAUAGUAGGCUCCUGAGAGCCCACAGGGACACUGCCCUAGGAAGGGCUGAGGAAAGGGGAAACUACCUGCUGCCUUUAUUCAGGAUUUUCCAAGUUCUAGAGUCUGACCUAGGCUCAGAAGCAGACCAAGUUUGGAGGAAGAGAACAGAGGUUGCCAGGAAACCAUCACAAAUGUGAGCUGGAAGGAGUCACCAUGGCUGUUAUGGGGAGGAGCCAUUGGAGCUGCUGAGAACCCGCCCAGGAUGGAGAGUUCACUGAUUGCUGGAGAUUAGCAUUGAAGAGAUGGCUCCACUGGACUACUUCAUGGGCUUAUCGGACUUGCUCCUCCCUGGGCAUCUCAGCAGGCAGCUUGAGUCUCCAUCACUUUCAGGUUCAGUCCUUUACUGGGCUAAUUGCUGAGAUCCUGAGUUUAGGAUUUUCAGAAACCUCUCAAGUUCUGCUACUUCCCCGGGGCUCUGUGUUUUUUCUUCUCUACCUCCUAGCCAAUGUUAAUCUCUUACAGGCAAUGGAAAUGGCAAGGCAGAGAGAGACAAACCCUCUUUUACUCGGUUCUGAGGUCUUUUCUUUUACUACCUCUCAAAAAACCUCACUCAAGCUUAUGAUGAGUAAUAAAAUCCUUCUCUCUGCUGGCUAAGCCUUUUAACUGUCCAGUAAUCACAAAACUAUUCUGAACCCCAAAAUUAGCUCAAAGUUUUCUAGUUAAUGAUAUACAAAUGACCAACUGUGACAUGAUUUUGCUG